rnacentral:rRNA from 1 species
GAUGAACGCUGGCGGCGUGCCUAAUACAUGCAAGUCGAGCGAACGGACGAGAAGCUUGCUUCUCUGAUGUUAGCGGCGGACGGGUGAGUAACACGUGGAUAACCUACCUAUAAGACUGGGAUAACUUCGGGAAACCGGAGCUAAUACCGGAUAAUAUUUUGAACCGCAUGGUUCAAAAGUGAAAGACGGUCUUGCUGUCACUUAUAGAUGGAUCCGCGCUGCAUUAGCUAGUUGGUAAGGUAACGGCUUACCAAGGCAACGAUGCAUAGCCGACCUGAGAGGGUGAUCGGCCACACUGGAACUGAGACACGGUCCAGACUCCUACGGGAGGCAGCAGUAGGGAAUCUUCCGCAAUGGGCGAAAGCCUGACGGAGCAACGCCGCGUGAGUGAUGAAGGUCUUCCGAUCGUAAAACUCUGUUAUUAGGGAAGAACAUAUGUGUAAGUAACUGUGCACAUCUUGACGGUACCUAAUCAGAAAGCCACGGCUAACUACGUGCCAGCAGCCGCGGUAAUACGUAAGUGGCAAGCGUUAUCCGGAAUUAUUGGGCGUAAGCGCGCGUAGGCGGUUUUUUAGUCUGAUGUGAAAGCCCACGGCUCAACCGUGGAGGGUCAUUAGAAACUGGAAAACUUGAGUGCAGAAGAGGAAAGUGGAAUUCCAUGUGUAGCGGUGAAAUGCGCAGAGAUAUGGAGGAACACCAGUGGCGAAGGCGACUUUCUGGUCUGUAACUGACGCUGAUGUGCGAAAGCGUGGGGAUCAAACAGGAUUAGAUACCCUGGUAGUCCACGCCGUAAACGAUGAGUGCUAAGUGUUAGGGGGUUUCCGCCCCUUAGUGCUGCAGCUAACGCAUUAAGCACUCCGCCUGGGGAGUACGACCGCAAGGUUGAAACUCAAAGGAAUUGACGGGGACCCGCACAAGCGGUGGAGCAUGUGGUUUAAUUCGAAGCAACGCGAAGAACCUUACCAAAUCUUGACAUCCUUUGACAACUCUAGAGAUAGAGCCUUCCCCUUCGGGGGACAAAGUGACAGGUGGUGCAUGGUUGUCGUCAGCUCGUGUCGUGAGAUGUUGGGUUAAGUCCCGCAACGAGCGCAACCCUUAAGCUUAGUUGCCAUCAUUAAGUUGGGCACUCUAAGUUGACUGCCGGUGACAAACCGGAGGAAGGUGGGGAUGACGUCAAAUCAUCAUGCCCCUUAUGAUUUGGGCUACACACGUGCUACAAUGGACAGUACAAAGGGCAGCGAAACCGCGAGGUCAAGCAAAUCCCAUAAAGUUGUUCUCAGUUCGGAUUGUAGUCUGCAACUCGACUACAUGAAGCUGGAAUCGCUAGUAACCGUAGAUCAGCAUGCCACGGUGAAUACGUUCCCGGGUCU